rnacentral:rRNA from 1 species
CGUGUAGGCGGUUUGGCAAGUCGAGUGUGAAAUCCCACGGCUCAACCGUGGAACUGCGCUCGAAACUGCCUUACUUGAGUGCGGGAGAGGUGUGCGGAAUUCCUGGUGUAGCGGUGGAAUGCGUAGAUAUCAGGAAGAACACCGGUGGCGAAGGCGACACACUGGCCCAGCACUGACGCUGAGGCGCGAAAGCGUGGGGAGCGAACGG